GCUGGUGAGGCUCAAUGGUAGAGUGUUGGCCUGGGCACCAAAGGGUUGAGGGUUCAAUUCCCGUCAAGGGCA
rnacentral:tRNA from 1 species